rnacentral:rRNA from 1 species
UACGUAGGGGGCAAGCGUUGUCCGGCAUCAUUGGGCGUAAAGAGCGCGCAGGCGGUCGUUCAAGUCGCGUGUGAAAGCCCCCGGCUCAACUGGGGAGGGUCACGCGAUACUGAUCGACUCGAAGGCAGGAGAGGGUAGUGGAAUUCCCGGUGUAGUGGUGAAAUGCGUAGAUAUCGGGAGGAACACCAGUGGCGAAGGCGACUACCUGGCCUGUUCUUGACGCUGAGGCGCGAAAGCUAGGGGAGCAAACGGG